UACAGAGGGUGCAAGCGUUAAUCGGAUUUACUGGGCGUAAAGGGCGCGUAGGUGGUUACGUAAGUGAGAUGUGAAAGCCCCGGGCUCAACCUGGGAACUGCAUCUUAUACUGCGUAGCUGGAGUGAAGUAGAGGAUAGUGGAAUUUCCGGUGUAGCAGUGAAAUGCGUAGAGAUCGUAAGGAAGACCAGUGGCGAAGGCGAGUUUCUGGACAGCUACUGACGCUGAGGCACGAAGGCCAGGGGAGCAAACGGG
rnacentral:rRNA from 1 species